rnacentral:rRNA from 1 species
AGAGUUUGAUCAUGGCUCAGAUUGAACGCUGGCGGCAGGCCUAACACAUGCAAGUCGAGCGGUAGCACAGAGAGCUUGCUCUCGGGUGACGAGCGGCGGACGGGUGAGUAAUGUCUGGGAAACUGCCUGAUGGAGGGGGAUAACUACUGGAAACGGUAGCUAAUACCGCAUAACGUCGCAAGACCAAAGUGGGGGACCUUCGGGCCUCAUGCCAUCAGAUGUGCCCAGAUGGGAUUAGCUAGUAGGUGGGGUAACGGCUCACCUAGGCGACGAUCCCUAGCUGGUCUGAGAGGAUGACCAGCCACACUGGAACUGAGACACGGUCCAGACUCCUACGGGAGGCAGCAGUGGGGAAUAUUGCACAAUGGGCGCAAGCCUGAUGCAGCCAUGCCGCGUGUGUGAAGAAGGCCUUCGGGUUGUAAAGCACUUUCAGCGGGGAGGAAGGCGAUAAGGUUAAUAACCUCAGCGAUUGACGUUACCCGCAGAAGAAGCACCGGCUAACUCCGUGCCAGCAGCCGCGGUAAUACGGAGGGUGCAAGCGUUAAUCGGAAUUACUGGGCGUAAAGCGCACGCAGGCGGUCUGUCAAGUCGGAUGUGAAAUCCCCGGGCUCAACCUGGGAACUGCAUUCGAAACUGGCAGGCUAGAGUCUUGUAGAGGGGGGUAGAAUUCCAGGUGUAGCGGUGAAAUGCGUAGAGAUCUGGAGGAAUACCGGUGGCGAAGGCGGCCCCCUGGACAAAGACUGACGCUCAGGUGCGAAAGCGUGGGGAGCAAACAGGAUUAGAUACCCUGGUAGUCCACGCCGUAAACGAUGUCGAUUUGGAGGUUGUGCCCUUGAGGCGUGGCUUCCGGAGCUAACGCGUUAAAUCGACCGCCUGGGGAGUACGGCCGCAAGGUUAAAACUCAAAUGAAUUGACGGGGGCCCGCACAAGCGGUGGAGCAUGUGGUUUAAUUCGAUGCAACGCGAAGAACCUUACCUGGUCUUGACAUCCACAGAACUUACCAGAGAUGCAUUGGUGCCUUCGGGAACUGUGAGACAGGUGCUGCAUGGCUGUCGUCAGCUCGUGUUGUGAAAUGUUGGGUUAAGUCCCGCAACGAGCGCAACCCUUAUCCUUUGUUGCCAGCGGU